AACUCCUGUGCAGAGAUCUGUGGGGCAGGACUGAAAACAUGCACAAGGGGAAAUACAGUACCUCAGCCCCUGACCUUCCUGAAGCCGAAGUUUGGAAGAGCCUUGCUGUUGGUGAUUCAGAUUCAUCCUGAAGGAUCUACUGCUGUUUGAUGGGAAUUCAUCAAAACACGCUGUGUCACUUCACAAGGAGCGUAGGACAGCCUGGGACUCUUGGUCCUCUUCUUUGAGGAUGAAGAGUUUACAAUUUUAAAUGGAUGCACCACAAGUAGUGUAGUCAAGAGGAGAUGGAGGAAGAUUGGGAGCUCUGGAAGGUUUUGAAGCUUUGAAGAAUCAGACCCCAAGGAUGUUGGUCAUGUUUUAACAGUGAUUGCUUUGCCAUUUUCUCCUUGAGGACCUGGCUGAGCAUCCAGAGAGGGGACAAACAUUGUCACCUCCACUGAGGCAGGCUGGCUCAUGCCACCAGAGCUCUUUUGUCUCUAUGAGCUCCUCUGUGUGCUGUGCCAUCACCGACACUUGUAGGAACAGUAGGAGAUUUUGCUGCUUCUGUGCCUGGCAGCCUGUUUUCCUUGUUUGUCCUUUACUCUCCUCCUGUAGUUGGGCACAGGAAUAGUUCUCAGUCAUGCUUUUCUUCAGCCCUGAUGUGUUGGUGCUUCCCUCCUCUGUCCUCGCUGUGCCUGGCAGAGCUGAGGCUGUGGCCUCUGCCUGCUGGCAUGGAGGUGGCAGCUCAUUGACAGUGCCACCACUGGGGUGACUUUGGCCAUAACACAGUUUCUCCGUGUCUUUGCAGCUUUCUGAGUAAGGAUGUCUGUCAGCCUGAGGGUUCAUUUGCACAAACAGUGUGGGUGAGAAAUCUGUCUUGGGCCAUGUUUAUUUUAAAUCUUGGCCAAGGCAGUUCCCCAACCCUUGGGAACACCAGGGCUCUCCAGGCUAUGGUGGGAGCUCUCCUGGUUUGCCUGGGAGCACCAUGGUGCUUCUUGGCAGCCCAAGCAAUUUCAAAAAUGAUUUUUCUAUCUUCUUGUCUUAAACAGUGAAGCAAGUUUAGUGAUGGGGGGGAGGACAGAGUAAUGCAGCUCAGGGAAGAGCUGUCUUCCCAGGGGUCUCUCACAGCACAUACAAGGGAUUUUUGACACUGGGGUCCUUCUGGACUUCCGGUCAGGGUGUCUCAGGCUGGCACAGGAAGCAGUAGUUUCCUGUGUGGCUGCAGAGCGUUGUGCUGGGACUGGUCCAUCCUUGCUGUGGGGUGGGAGAAAGGGUGAGCAAUUUAUUUUUUUUUUUACACAUUUUUAAACCAGUGAUCUGUUUCUCUCACUCCUAUGUUGAUGGACUCAUUACUCAUUACUGCUGUUGUCUACCCCAAGGAUGGCUCCAGGAGCAGGCUGACUGAAGGCUGGGAUGCUGUCCCCCCUGUCUCUGGCUGUAGUAGGCAGGGUGCUGGUUCUCCCAGGAGGAAAAACACCUCAGCUGAACCAGUCUCCCAUGAUUCCCACAUGGACAUGGUGGUGCAGUGAGUGUGCUGAUGUGCUCUGUGCUCUUGUCUGUGUGUGUCAGUCCCAGCACAGGGAGGGACUCCUCCAGGCAAGAGAGAUGACUCUGGAGCUGGUCCAGGUGCAUGCAGAGCCCUGGCGCUGGGUCCCUCCUGGCAUGUGCACCUUCCCCUGGGACACCACUUUGGGAAACGUGUUGUUUACCAUCUUUUCCUUGCCAGCUCUCAGCAGUUUCUGUGCGUGCCCACCAGAGAGCAACCCCAGCACAGGGUUGUUGUCUCCAGAGGCACAGAUUGUAGGGCUGAGUGUGACAUCCAAUCCAUCAUCCCUCACGCCCUCCAGCCCUAUCACCUCAUCCCAAACCUGAGCUGAACAGUGAGUUUAGGCCCUCUAUGUUCUGGGCAGGAGGAGUAUCACACAGGAAGGGAGGACAGUGCUGAAGAAGAGAGGCAGGAGACCCUGGCUGUGUCUUCUACAGCAAAUCCGGUGCCAUCCCCAGGAAAGGACCAUGCCAUGAAUUAGCAAAGGGCAUCAAUCCAGGAUGUACAAGAAACAAGUAAGUGUUCAGACAGAGCUUAACUAUUUGGAUGGCUGAAAAUCUGCUGCUUUUUGCAGUUUCUUAUAAAUGCAUAGAAAAUUCUAUUCACCUUGGAGAAACACAGAAUCAUUUAGUCUGGAAAAGACCUUUAAGAUCCUGGAGCCCACAUCUCAGUGGGUAUGUCUGAUGCUUGGACAGGUAGCUGGGUGUCUUGAUGGGGCUUUGUAUGUGAGACUGUCCCAGUGUUUGGGGAAGGAGCAAACCCGUGUUUUUCAUGUAUCCUCAGGCUUUGUGAGUAUCAUCUCAGCCUCAGGGCUGGCAAGAAGUCCAAGGAUAGGCAGUCACAGCUGGGCUUGGAGGUGGGGUUCAACUCCCUUAACUGAGCUGCCUGGGUCAGGAGGGAGAGAUGGGCAGGAUUGGCCUUUCCUGGGACAGACACGGCACAAGGGACUGAAUCUCCUGCUGGAGGGAGCUGUCCCUCCCCUCUGUGCUUCCUUUGGGCUGUAGGAGCAGCAUUCACAGGCCACUGCCAAGGUCUGUGGCAGUGCUGAGCUGCAGCCCCAGUGCCUGCAGAAAUGGGCUUUAAAAGAAAGCUGAGGGAAGAAACAACUCCUUGCUAUUUUUAUCCUUGCACCAGCCCCUGGGGAUUUCGAUUGACAGGAUUAGUUAUGAAGCCAAUAUUACGAGUUUAACUAUGAGUGAAAUAACACAACUUCUGUGGGAAGCAGAGUAAAAGAGGCAAUUAUGCAGUAGUUUAAUAACAGCACGCUGCUGGCUGGGUAGCUGAAAACGUACAGUUGACAGUAAUUAGAUUUUUCCAUUCUUCCUGUUAAAUAGCUAUAAAAAUUAAAACAGAAAAUAAUCUGAUUCUCUUUUAUUUCCUGCUGUUUUCAUCAUCCAGUCAGUAUCCAUUUGGCCUUCUGAUUGUUCUUUAUAUGGUUUUAGGAUCGAGUAUUUAAGACGUGCAGAAAUGGGACAAUGUUAAAAAAUGCAGAAAGCACUAGGAAUGAGGCAGUAACACUCUUCUGAGCAUUAGGAAUCCAGGGGAUGCUUGAAUGGACAGUGAGGGCUUUCCAGAUUGACUAACUCUGAAUAACAGCUGGACUUCUAACCACAGGAGUUAUUCCAAAUCAUUUAAAAUUGCAGUAAAAAAUGAGAUGUUAGGAAUUAAAUCCCCAUUUACCUGUCUGUUACUAUAAUGUGCCAGGUGUAGAUAAGCAGGAGGGAUGGAGGGAGGUGCUAUGGCACAUCAGUCUGCACUGGUUGCUUGCUGCCCUCAUCUCCCUGCUGGGAUGGGAGUCUGUGCUGUGCUGUGAUUCUGGGCUUCACUCCCACCUUGGGCUCCGUGCUGGGAUGGCAGUGUGAGUAGUGGGGGUGUUUGUUGGCUGGCAAGGAGCUGUAUUUGGAAAAAAUCUGUGAGGUCCCUCAGAUCUGCAGGGCAUCUUCUCUUCCAAGUCUUUGCUGCUCUUCCACAGCCCUGCGGUGCUGGGAUUUUUGCCCUGCAAUGCUGGGUCUGUACAGGCAUCUCAUGUCCCUGGGGUUCACAUCCCAAGUGAUGCUUCCUUGUCUGCUGCCCUCCUUUCAAGCACUGUCCUUUUUUAAUUUUUUUCUCUGUGUCUAGACAGCAGUAAGUUUUCUCUUACGGCAUAGAAACAUGAAUUACUUUAAAAACACCCCGUUGUUAAACUUGCAGGGUGAAACUUAAUGAGCCGACAAAUGUGUGGCAUUUGGCUGCUUAUGAUCAUAGCUUGAAAGUGCAGCACAGCACAAAGGGAAGAACUCUCAGGUUUGCUUUCACCAUUGGAAGCUCAGGAUGGGAUAUUUGCUUGGAGUAUUCUUCCUUUUGCUCUCCUUUACCUUGUGAUGUAAAAGAUCCAGGUAUGAUAAAUGGUAUCCUAGUUGUGCAGGUAGUUUAAUGUGAGGCGGUGUUUUGCAGCUCUGGUGCUGUUGGGAUCUCUGACACACAAUAAAUACGUUCUGUGGCAGCACACCUGACCUCACAGCACAGCACGUCUCUGAUUUCUUUGCUUUUACUCUGUCAUGGCAGGAGCGUGACAGUUCAACUUCACACACGUGUUUCAGUUUUAAGGCACUGUGGAGGUGCCUAGAGCUGGUAACAGGGCAAAGGCCACCUCCACGUUUGCCUCCAUCCCAUUUGGUUCCACUAGUCAAAGAAAUGCGCCGUGCUUUUGGCAGAUGCAAAUGCUCCAGAUGGUACCGGGAAAAGUGCAAAUGAAAGAUUUGAUUUCGGCCCUUCCUAGCUUUAAUAAAAUUCUGUUCAUCUCUCUGGUAGAGCCUUUUUUUAUUAGGGGCUUUUAGAAACGUAUCUCCUCUCCUUUUUAUUUUUUUUUUUUUCCUUACCUCUGAGCCUGUGACUUUCAGCUCGCCCCUGUGUCACUGGGAGCUGUUCUGCUGGUUGUUGCAGUCUGCCAUCCAAAGUGGGGACCUUCCAGCAUGUUUUUCUGGUGUUAGUCUUUAAAAAGUGGAUAUAAUCCAUUAAUCACAAUGUCUGACUGUCUGCAUUGGGGCCCGUUGCCUGGUUUGAGCCAUGUGGACAAGGCAGUGAGUGGUGCGUGGGGUCUUGACAUGCACUGGUGAAUUGCAAACUUUUAGUGUGUGCUGAAACAAAUAUUCCCUCGAGUUUCCUACUGGUCUUUGUGUGAGGGACGGGGGCAGCUCAAAGCAGCUGGUGCUGCUCUUGGGCUGUGACUGCUGCCCCCACAGGCAGCAUCAUUCUUCUAGAAAGCUCUGGUGGAAAAGCAAGAGUCUGGAAGGAGUCACCUUCUGGGGCUGGUCCAACCCGUGGGUCACUACCUGGACUUGAUUUUGGCUUGAAGGGAUGAGGGAGAGGAGAGCUGUCAUCUCCCCCUUCAGUUCCAUCUGGAAUGGCAUGUGUGCUCCCGGGCGUGUGCUGUGCUGAUGCUCACACAGUGCCCGAGUCACCACCCCGUAUUAGCUUAUUCCAGCACAUUGCCUUGUUACAAAAUUGGAUCCAUUUUGCAAAUUGCUGCUGCACUAGUAAUUGAAUUGAAGGGGUAUUUUUGUUAGUUUUCUUUCUCUUCUCCCCUCACUUUUUUUUUCACCGGAGUAAAUUAGGAAUAAGUCAACAGAAUCAAGCCCUUAGUGCUUUCAGCAACAUGCUCAUUUAAAUUGGAUGCAAGAGGGUGUCUGUGUUUACAUUUGGCCUGCCAAGAAUCUCUGUUUCAGAAACUGGCUUACAUAAUAUGUCAAAAUUGGUUUACUCAUUAGCAUUGCAAACUGCGUGAAACAAGCUGCAGAUUGAUAAACUCGCAGCAAUAUUUGCAUCCGGAUCUGAGUGGCACAGGGGGAGGGGAAGUUCAUUAGGAAAUGUUCCAUUUCCACAAGAAAAACAAAUGGUUUCCAGUUACAGAUCUCAGAUUUCGUUAAUUUUCUGUCUUCCCAAAUUUUAAUAAAGAUUGAGAGGGAAGUGUGAAAAUCUCUGUUGGCAAACAGGCAGCCUGUCUUAGUAUUCCCUGUAUUGGUGGGCUGUUUACAGCAGCAGCUCCAGGUAGGCUGAUUAUCUUCUUCCAGCUGGGGCUCCAACCCUUCUCCCAGGCUCCAGCCUUCUUGGACACUGCUGCUGCCUUGAUUGAUGCUUUCUCUUCAGCACAGGUGGGGUGGAAACUUUAAUAUUAUUAAUUAACUUUUCCAAAUGUGGAAUGGCCAGCAAUGUGGUAGCAUGGUCCAAAGAGCCUUUGGUGGUGCUGCCUGUUCCUGGCUUUACCUGGGCAGAGCAAGGGAGCAAUCCAGCCUUGGGCAGAGCUGAGGACCCUGAAGUGGAAAAGCUCCAGCUCAGGUGCUCCAUGACUAGAUUUAUGAAACCCCAUCUCUACAGUGGAGUGUGUGAUUUUAGAGGUGUCUGUAAAUCUGCACACACACACAGGAGCAGGCAUGAACAGUUCACUUUAGGAGAUUCUGGGGUAAUGUGAACAAGCAUGUUAAGAGUAAAGUAGUGAAGCAGUAAUGGGGGUCUAAGGGUAGUUAGUGCCUUUGGGCUUCUGCUGUAUGGGUGUUGGAUAUUCCAUGGUGGGUUGGGGAAUGGUGGGAAGAGACAGCAAGGAGUGGUGGGGAGCCACAUAUUAGGAGAAGUUUCUUCACUGAAAGAGUAGCCAAACAUUGGAAUAGGCUGGAAUUGCCCAGAGAAGUGGUGGAACCUCUGUCCCUGAAAGUGUUCAAAUAAAGUGUAUGUGCUGCUUAGGGAUGUGAUUUAGUGGUGGACUUGGCUGUGCUGUAUUAAGAUGGACUCAGUGAUCUCAGGGGUCUUUUCCAACUUCUGUAAUUGUGAGCUGUCCUCAUGCAGAUGCCUCCCCUGAUUCCUGCUGUAUCUGGGGAUAAGUCUCUCUCCAGGCCUGCCUGACCUGUUGCUGGUGUCACUGCAUCCCUUCCCGCCAUGAACCUUGCACAAAGUUGAUGCAAAUCUCUUAGAUGUAUACUGCUUUUCUGUAAUACCUAGAGUUGUUUGGCUUAAAUCCCAGGAAGUUUUUUAGUUUGCUUUGAAACUCCUGACUCAAAAAUCAGAAUUAAAAAGCUCUGAUACAGCACAGAGGUGUGGCAUAGCAGUGCUGGUGUUGGCAACACCUCUUCUUGUGCUUGGUGAUGCUGAGUGCCCCAUCCAGUAUUUCAGAUGAAUUUUUGAAAAGGAAUCCAAUAAAGCUGGAGAAAGGACAAGGCUGCAAUGCUGCAGGGUCUGCUGCAGCCUGACAAGUGUUUAGCCUUGUCAGCAAAACUCUUUUAAUGUAUGUUUUUCAAAGUUUUCAGAAGACUUUGGUGAGUUUAAGUAAGCAGUUGUUAGCUGUGGGAAGGGAAAAUAGAUUUUCUCACUGGAAAAUGAAAUGAGAGGUGUUUGCAUUUCACUUACUCUCACACCUUGCAGCAAGAGGCUGGUCACCAUGAGAUAACAGCGCAUUUGAGUGCCAGCUGGAGAGCUGAAUGCAGUGAAGAAGGCCAGGAGUGAGAUGCAUCAGCUGGGGAGCUGAGGCAAGCUGAGUAUCCUCCUGCCAUCCUCCACCAAUGUGCACCUGCAGGCUGGAGAAGAGCUCCCAGGGCUGUGGGAGAGCCAGCAUCACUCUUUGCAUCAUCUUUGCUGAUGCAGUGGGUGGUAAGUUUUGUGUGGUCCUUGGUCACCUUUGACCACGUGGAGCGUGAACGUGACUGCAGAGUGCAGCUCCUGCCUGCGUUUAUCAGGCAUCAAAGGGCUGCUCACAGCGCAGGGGGAGGAAAAUGCAGGCCAGAGUCACUGUGGUGUUUAAUCUUCGUGGCUGGGGCUCAGGUGGUUGCAGGUAGCUGGUGGAUGUUUUUGUGUAUGUUAAAAUGCACCACGCAACAGAGCGGUGCUUCAGCCUGAGGAACUCUCUGAGCAUCACAGCAUCUCCUCAUUACAGCAUCCUCCAGCAUCAGGCUGUAUCUGCUGGAAAUGCAGGGCCACAUCGACAGCAGUGACAUCUGUCAGCCUGGCUGUGCAGCUCCUGCUUGUGGGAAGGGGGCCUGGAGUGCUGUGCUCAUAAAGAGUUGUCAGCGCCUCCUCUGCCUGGAUUGUGCUAGAAGUGCCAGCCCCCUACAGAUAAACUGUAUUAUCAGAUGAAUGCAGCCUCCUUGUUUUUGUCUUCAGGAUUUUCCCUGUGAAUUCCAGCACUUACUGUAAAUCCCAAGCCGCUGUGGAAAAGCAAUUGUGCUCCAAUUCUGCUGUGCAGGGAACUGUUGUCACCCCACAGGUGUAUCUGUAUA